ACAACCCUGACCGCCAGUUAAGGUCCCUAAGUUAUGGCUAAGUGGGAAAGGAUGUAGAGAUCCCAAAACAACCAGGAUGUUGGCUUAGAAGCAGCCAUCAUUUAAAGAAAGCGUAACAGCUCACUGGUCUAAAUAAGGGUCUCCGCGCCGAAAAUGUACCGGGGCUAAAGCCAUACACCGAAACUGCGGGUGCGUCUUAUGACGCGCGGUAGCGGAGCGUUCUGUAAGCUGAUGAAGGUGGACCCGUGUGGGCUGCUGGAGGUAUCAGAAGUGCGAAUGCUGACAUGAGUAACGAUAAAGAGGGUGAGAGACCCUCUCGCCGAAAGUCCAAGGGUUCCUGCGCAACGCUAAUCGGCGCAGGGUUAGCCGGCCCCUAAGGCGAGGCCGAAAGGCGUAGUCGAUGGGAACGGGGUUAAUAUUCCCCGGCCAGUGGGUAGUGACGGAUGCCGUGUAUCGUAUCUCCUUAUUGGAUUGGAGAUGCGGUGAAGGUGUUCCUGGAAAUAGCUCCCACGCUAAGACCGUACCCGAAACCGACACAGGUGGACAGGUAGAGUAUACCAAGGCGCUUGAGAGAACUGUGCUGAAGGAACUCGGCAAAUUGCUCCCGUAAGUUCGCGAGAAGGGAGCCCGGUACGAAGGCAACUUUGUAUCGGGGGCACAGAAUAGGGGGUUGCGACUGUUUAUCAAAAACACAGGGCUCUGCGAAGCCGCAAGGCGACGUAUAGGGUCUGACGCCUGCCCGGUGCUGGAAGGUUAAGAGGAGGUGUGCAAGCACCGAAUUGAAGCCCCAGUAAACGGCGGCCGUAACUAUAACGGUCCUAAGGUAGCGAAAUUCCUUGUCGGGUAAGUUCCGACCUGCACGAAUGGCGCAACGAUCUGAGCGCUGUCUCAACGAGGGACACUGCGAAUUUGUGGUACCGGUGAAGACGCCGGUUGCCCGUGGCAAGACGGAAAGACCCCGUGCACCUUUACUACAACUUAGUAGUGAGUGCUGGCGUGUCAUGCGCAGGAUAGGUGGGAGACUUUGAACCGGGCCUCUUGGGGUCCGGGGAGUCGUCGGUGAGAUACCACCCUUGGCUCGUCGGUGUUCUAACCUCGGCCUGUCAUCCAGGUCAGGGACACUGCUAGGCGGGUAGUUUGACUGGGGCGGUCGCCUCCCAAAAUGUAACGGAGGCGCGCGAAGGUUCGCUCAGGCUGUUUGGAAAUCAGCCGGAGAGUGCAAAGGCAGAAGCGAGCUUGACUGCGAGACAUACACGUCGAGCAGGUGGGAAACCAGGCCUUAGUGAUCCGGUGGUUCCGCAUGGAAGGGCCAUCGCUCAACGGAUAAAAGGUACGCCGGGGAUAACAGGCUUAUCUUGGCCAAGAGUUCACAUCGACGCCAAGGUUUGGCACCUCGAUGUCGGCUCAUCGCAUCCUGGAGCUGUAGCAGGUUCCAAGGGUUCGGCUGUUCGCCGAUUAAAGCGGUACGUGAGCUGGGUUUAGAACGUCGCGAGACAGUUCGGUCCCUAUCUGCCAUGGGCGUAGGAGAUUUGAGGGGGGCUGUCCUUAGUACGAGAGGACCGGGAUGGACGGACCUCUAGUGUACCAGUUGUCGCGCCAGCGGCAGUGCUGGGUAGCUACGUCCGGAAGGGAGAAACGCUGAAAGCAUCUAAGCGUGAAACCCUCCCCAAGAUGAGAUCUCCCUGGACCUUCGGGUCCCUGAAGGCUCCUGGAAGACCACCAGGUGAUAGGCCAGAUGUGUAAGGCCCGCGAGGGCUUGAGCUAACUGGUACUAAUCAGCCGUGAGGCUUGACCAU
rnacentral:rRNA from 1 species